UUUUGUCGUCUUAGAGUUAAUUUAGAUGUGCAAAAACCUAUUAGGAGGGGUAUUUUUGUCUCAACAGAUAAUCGAAGUAAAUCUUGGAUUCCUUUUAAAUAUGAAAGAUUACCUACUUUCUGUUUUGGCUGUGGAAGAAUGGGGCAUGGCCUUCAAGAAUGCCAAGUGAUAAAACCUGCAGGAAAACUUAAAGUUAGAGAUAACCCACCUUUCUCUUUAGCGCUGAAGGCAGAAUUAAAUUUUCUUGGAAGAGAAAGUUUACAAUUUAAUGUUCUUUCAAAAAAGCUGCAACCCCAAUGUUCAUAUACAGGAAAUUCAAAGGAGAGCAAGAAUCGCAUGCGCAAGAAAAAGAGAGUACUGAUAUGCCUUUGGAAAAAAGGGUAGUACACAGUUGAUAGAAGCAGAGGAUGCGAAAGAAGGACAAAAGGAAGAGAUAAUCGUUGAAAGGGCAGUCGCUGGUAAUUAUUAUAUAGAUGAAGAUAUGCUGAAACCAAUCAAGAAAUCCAGUUGGAAAAGAAUUAACUUAGAAAGAGGGAGAAUAACUUAUGAGGGAGAGAACAAUUUGAAGAAAAGGAAAUCAGCAGAGGUUGAAGCUGAUAAGUGUCGUAUAGAAGGAUUCUCGGAUGAUACAGUAAAAAAGAUGAGAUAUGGUGGACAGGAUUUGGAGUAUGAUGAUAGAAUAUAUUUGAUGGAAGAUAAUUUCAACCAAAAAAGAUGGAAGAUAAUUUCAACCAAAAAAUAUCGGCGGUUGCCAUGAGGCAAGCCGAUCGAACGCAAUGAAAAUAAUAUGCUGGAAUAUCCGUGGACUGGGGAAUCCACGGGAAGUGAGAAGGCUUCGAUUUUCGCUGAAGCAACAAAAUCCCCAAAUGGUCUUAUUUAUGGAGACUAAAAUUGAUGAGAAGUGGAUGAAGAAAAUUAGGAGGAGAUGUGGUUUUGGAAAUGGGAUUGAUGUCAGUGCAGAAGGGUCUCGUGGAGGAAUUUGUCUAGCAUGGAAAGAAGAUAUCCAGGUUAGUUUAAAAACAUUCUCAUUAACUCAUAUUGAUGUGCUGGUGAAAGAAGAGAAUAUUACUGAGGAAUGGAGGUUUACAGGCUUCUAUGGGUCACCUUAUAUACAGAAUAAAAAUGUCUCAUGGAAUCUAUUGAGGAACUUGGGUAAGGAAUCGGAUCACCCUUGGCUAGUGGGUGGGGAUUUUAAUGAAAUAAUGUACUCUUUUGAAAACAGCGGGGGUCAACCAAGAGAGGAGAAGAGGAUGAAAGCCUUUCGUGAGGUUCUAGAAGAAUGUCAUCUAACUGAUGUGGGAUAUACGGGGGUAUGGUUUACAUAAGAAAGAGGGAAUAUGGCGGAAACAAAUAUCAGAGAGAGAUUGGAUAGGGAUGUCGCAAAUGAAAAAUGGAUAAAGCUUUUUCCAAGAGGUAAUGUUCAUCAUUUAACAUCUUCAUUAUCUGAUCAUUGCCCCCUUCUAAUUAAUACAACAACUGGAUAUAAUUUUAUGGGAAUUCCAAAUUUCAAAUUUGAGGCAUGGUGGACUAUGGAGGAAUCACUUGAACAAGAGGUCAAGAAAAUGUGGGAGUCAUCAAAUGGUUCGAUUGUUGAUAAAUUGCAAAGGUUGCAAAUUAGUUUGACAAGAUGGGCAAGGUCGAUAAAGAAGAAGAGGGACGAAUUGAAGAAUAAGCUUAUAAAAGAACUCGGAAACCUAAUGGAAAAGGAAAUAGAUGAUGAUAUACUGGCAAAGGAAAUAGAUACUAGAAUUCAGCUCAACAUGGAGAUAGAUAAAGAUAAAUUUUAUUGGGAGCAACGAGUACGAGCUAAUUGGCUCCAAUUGGGAGAUAGGAAUACAUCCUUCUUUCAUAGGUUUGCAUCCACACGAAGAAGGAUAAACACAAUUAGUAGGCUGGAAGCAGAUGAUGGUAAGGAAAUCUACAAAGAAUCAGAAAUAAGAGGGGCGACUACAACUUAUUUCCAGAAUCUUUUUACAUCUAAUGGUGUGGGACAUCUAUCUCAUCUUUUAUCAGGGAUUUAUAAUAGUAUUACGCAAGAUAUCAAUGCAACUUUAUUGGCGAAGUAUUCAGCAGAAGAAGUGUAUAUGGCACUAAAAAUAAUGGGGCCCUCUAAGGCACCAGGCCAUGAUGGCUUCCCGGCUUUAUUUUUCCAAACUUUUUGGCACAUCGUGGGACCAGAUAUCGUAGAUUUUUGUUUAGGUGUCCUAAACAAGGGGAAGGAUUUUAGAUUUUUCAACCAAACGGAAUUAGUACUUAUUCCAAAAACUUCUAAUCCUACAAGUCUUGUGAAUUUUAGACCAAUUAUCCUAUAUACAGUUAUAUAUAAAAUUAUCGCCAAAACAAUUGUGAACCGCUUUCAAGAAUUUAUCGGAAGAUACAUUGAUGAUGCUCAAAGUGCUUUUGUCCUAUGCAGGUUAAUAUCAGACAACGUGUUAUAGCAUAUGAGUUUUUACAUACACUACAACAAAAAUGGAUAGGGAAAAAGGGAUUCAUGGCAGUGAAACUAGAUAUGAGUAAAGCUUAUGAUAGAGUGGAGUGGGGUGUUUUGGAAGCAAUAAUGCUUUGAAUGGGAUUUGCAGUAGAAUGGGUGAAGUUAGUUAUGAAGUGUAUAUCCACUGCCUCGUAUGUAGUAACUAUAAAUGGGAGGCGUGGUGAUACUUUCAAACCUACAAGAGGACUCCCGCAAGGUGACCUACUUAGCUCUUUUCUUUUUCUAAUAUAUAGUGAAGGGUUAUUUACUUUGAUUAGGCUGGCGAUGAAAAAGAGAUUAAUAAAGGGUGUUAAGGCUAGUAGAAGAGGACCAGCAAUUUCACAUCUACUAUUUGCAGAUAAUUGUAUUUUGUUUGGUGAAGCUACAAAAGGUAGAACAAAGAUUUUAAAUGAUAUUUUAAGAGGAUACGAUCGAUGCUCCGGUCAAUGCGUAAACUUCAACAAAUCAACCAUUUUCUUUAGUUCAAAUAUGACAGAAAGGGACAAAGAAGAAAUCUCAAAUGAUAUGGGAGUGAAGUGUUCGACGAAUAUAGAGAAAUAUUUAGGCCUCCCUAAUGUGGUGGGUAGACGAAAGAAUGUGUCGUUUCAGAAUCUUAAAGAUAGGAUUAGGCAUAGAAUUGAAAACUGGAGCACAAGAUUAUUAUCUCAAGGAGGAAAUGAGGUGUUUAUAAAAUCCGUACUCCAAGCUAUACCAACCUAUGCCAUGACAUGUUUUCUUUUACCUAAGGCACUUUGCAGGAUUUUGAAAGUAUUUUUGCUCGUUUCUAAUGGCAAAAAGGAAAAGGGAAAAGAGGAAUUCAUUGGUGCUAAUGAAAAUUUAUGUCCUGUCCUAAAGUCAAGGGAGGAAUGGGCUUCAGAAAUAUGGCACAAUUUAACCUUUCAUUACUAGCCAAGAAAGGAUGGAGGAUGAUUAAUAAUUAGAAUUCUCUUGUUACACAAGUUUUUAAAGCUAAAUAUUUUUCGAAUGAUGGUUUUUUAAAUUUCUGAUUGGGAAACUCUAGCUCUUACGUAUGGAAAAGCAUAUGGGCAGCUAAAGGUAUCUUGGAAAAAGGAUUAUGUUGGAAGGUUGGUACAGGUCGUAACAUCUUUAUUAAUCAUGAUGCUUGGAUACCAGACGCGGCAAAUUUUAGAUUAUCAACAGAGAUUAAUGUUAUGUGUGAUACUAAAGUAAGUGAUUUGAUCGAUAGUACAACAGAAUAUGAAAUAAGGAGCUAAUUCGUAAUACUUUCUCAGAAGAGGAUGCUGCAAAAAUCUUUCGUAUUCCCUUGGCACAAGUAUUUCACGAUGACUUCCUCACAUGGGGGCAGAAGCUUCGGUCAAAUUCUCGGCACGUAGCGCCUACAAACUAUUACAAGUCUCUGAAGGAAUUUCUAGAGCUUAUGCUUUACAAACCAUCUAUAGGGACUUUUACAAAAAAACUCUGGCUACUAAACCUACUAGCAAAAAUAAAGUUUACAAUCUGGAAAAUUUCAUGGAACUACCUGCCUACAAAAACUAAUCUACUAAGUAGAAAUUUAGCAAACAAUACAAACUGUCCUCGGUGUGAAGGAAUGGCUGAAACCAUUGACCAUCUAUUCCGAGAAUGCCAUGUUACAGUGGAAGUAUGGACAGUGUUAUCCAUCCAGAAUAUAGUCAUGGUUCAAAAUAUGGAAUUCUUACAGUGGCUCACCUGGGUUUUUGAGUAGUUCACUCGUUGCGAAUGUAGUCUUUUCUACUGCGCCCUUUGGGCCAUCUAUGGAGACAAAAAUAAAAGAAUACAUGACGAAAAGGUUAAUACGGGCAAGGAAAUUGCAAGCUUCAUUAUCAGCUACAAUAAUGAGAUUACUGGUUUUGGAAAAAAAAGACUUCAGAAAGAAAAGUAGACAACAGUACAUGGCAGUUCCACCUUAUGAGUUCGUUAAGAUCAAUUUUGAUGGUGCGUAUAAUGAAAGAACACAACAAUCGGCCACUGGUGUAACGUCCCCUAACCCUAUACCGUCACCGAAACAGGGUUACGAGACAUUACCAGUCAGUACAGUCCAAUUCCAGUCAUUAAUUAAAAUAAAUAUUCACAAACAUCCUAGUUUUAAGAUGUCGUCCCUUUAAUGGGCCUUUGCGGUCCAAUAUGAACAGUAAAUUCAAUUCGGGGCUAAUUUAGAAUCACUACGAAUUUUUAGUAAAUUUCAAAAUUCAUACUACAUACCGUUGCCAACCAUAAUUUACUCAUUUCAUCAAUACUUCUACAACCUAAAUGACUCUCAUUAAACAUCCUGGGUACAUGCCACUAUCAAUACUCAACAUACUUUACCUUAAUGAAUUCGGGAUCAUCCUGGGAUGCUGAUUCAACGUACUAUCUUUACUUAACCUGCGCACGAAAACAAACCGUACGCUGAGUAUGGUAUACUCAGUGGUAUUUCUAUAAUCCGAACAAUUUAUAAUAUAACAAAUACUUAAGAUCAUAAUAACAAUUACAAUUAUUCAAUUAUUUAUUCAUAGAUAAAUUUCAACUACUUACCAUAUAAAUUUUAUACAAAUCAUAUAAUAAACACAAUAACAUAAUUGUUCAAUUCUUAACUAAAUCCAUUAUUAUUUACUCCAUUCUUUCACUUACUAUUCGGUAUAGCUUUCCUUAAUUUAUUCACAAUUCAAUAUCAUUAAACUAUAUUCAACUAUACACUUAUCAAUCAUAUUCCAUUUUAAUUCAUUUCAAUAACAAUCAAUUUCAUUUAUAUCAUAUCAACUUACUAUCCCUAAUAGCUUUCACUAUAAACAUACGAUUCAUAUAUCUCAAAUCACAUUUCAAUUCAUCAAGUGGCAUCAUAUAUCAUCAAUUCGAACUCCAAUCAUUUCAUGAACCUUUGGUUCAUAUUUUCAAUUUCAUAUAAAUUUUCAAUUCUCAAUUCAAUUUCUCGUUUCAUUUCAAUAGCUUGAUCAAUCAAAUUUAUUCGAUUUAUCUUUCACUUAGUUACCCCUAUUAACAAACCCGGACUUUGACGGAUACACGGAUUCCAACUCAAACACACCAGUACGGCACAUUGUGCCUAAAACGAUACAUAGUACCUGAUCAGAGUACGACACAUAAAGUGCCUAAAAUGACACACGAGGUGCCUGAUACGACACACGAGGUGCCUGAAAUACGACACAUAAAGUGCCUGAUCAGUAAAGCCGGCAAAUCCCGUACACUUCCAGAUCCUAUGGCAUGCCAAUUAUAUCCGACUCAGCCCGACUAGUUAAUAGGGUAUUUCAUUCACUUUCUCAAUUUAAUAAUUCUUUCAUCAAUAUACCAUUUUGAUAAUCACAUAUAUUCACCCAUUUUCACAAUUCAUACAAUUUCAUUCAAUUCAACAAUAUAUUUCAAUUAUUCACAUUAAUUCAUAAUUCAAUACAAUUCAAUUCACUUUUCAAUAUCAAAUAUUCAAAUAUCACAAUCUCAUAUAUUCAUAUCAAUUUCCUCAUAUUUCCAAUCAAUAUAUUUUUCAAUAUAACAUUCAUUCAAUAUUCAAAUUUCUACAUAAAUCAUAUAUAUUAUAUAAUUCAAUCAAUAUAAAUUCAAUCAAAAUAAUUUCAAUAAAUAUAAAUUCAAUAAAUUCAUCGCAUACCAAAAUCAAUCCAUUCCAAUUGUAAAACAUCAUAAUUCUAACACUAACAAUUGCCAUAUGUAUAUAAAUAUGACAAAUAAUAACUAAGUUUGGAUUAUAGAAAUACAAACCGUAAUUUUCGAGCUAACUCCAGUUGACUUUGUCUUGUCCUUUCUUAGCCGAGAUUUCCGGUACCACAUUGACUACGAAAUUAAUACAAUUCAUAAUCAUUAAUACAUUAAUAAUUUAUAUCUUGAGUUACAGAAUAUUUUUCCUAAAACUAGACUCACAAAUCUUAUUACAAUAAAAUUUUCAGAAUUUUUGGUUUAGCCAUUAAAUACAGUUUAUUCUUUAAAUUCACCCCUAUUCUGCUGUCUGACAGUUUCGUCCCUUCUUCACUAAAAAUUAAUUAUCUCACAAUACAGAACUUGGAUAAUAUUCCCGUUGAUUUCUCCUGAAAAUAGACUCAUUAUGGAUUCUAAACACAUAACUUUAAGCCUCUAAUUAUUUUUCUUAAAUUUUUGGUGAUUUUCCAAAGUCAGAACAGGGAAACCCGAAUUCAUUCUGACCUUAUCUCACAAAAUUCAUUAUAUCUCAUAAGUUACAACUCAAUUGCCGUUUCUUCUAUAAAAAACUAGACUCAAUAAGAUUUAAUUUCAUAUUUUAUUCAUUCUCUAAUUCAAUUUCUACAAUUUUUUGUGAUUUUUCAAACUUAGACUACUGCUGCUGUCCAAAAUAGUCUUAGUACAAAAUAUUGAUUUACUUUAAUUUCAAUUUAAUCCUAACUAAAUUCACUUACUUUUCUAUCUUAAUUCAUACUUUAUUUCUACUCAAUUUUUUAACCAAACUUAGACAUAAUUAUCUAUUUUUCAUCAUAAAACCAUAAUUUUGAAAUUCUUUCAAUUUAGUCCUAAAGCAUAAAACUUAUGAAUCACUUUACAAUUCAAUCCUUAUAUCAUUUCUAACUUGAAUUUCUAUCAAUUUAGCCCUUAAUUCAUCAUUUUAUUUAACAUGAACAAUAUCUAGAAAUCUAAUAACUUUCAAAAUAUCAACUUAGUUUCAUCAAAACUUUGUUCUAAAACUUCUAAAACAUCAAAAUUAAGUAAAAAGGACUUGAUUGACUUACCUAUUAAAGCUUAAAGCUUCAAACCUUCAAUUUUCUCUUUUCUCCCUUUCUUUCUUUCUUUUUCUCCCCUGCUCUCUGUUUCGUUUCAUUUUGUUUCUAUUUCCUUUCUUUUGUUUCUUUAGUUUAUAUAAUAUAAUAUAAUAUAAUAUAAUAUAAUUAAAACAUAAAAUAUCUUUAUUAUAUAAUAAUAUAAUAAUAUAAUAAUAUACUAAACAUAAAAAAAUUCUUAAAUUUUCUUCACGGUACACCGCCUCAAUUUAUACUUUUUGUAUAAUUUCCUUUUUAGUCCUUUUUCUUUUCUUUUAAUCUAUAAUUCAACUUUUACCCCUUAUUCAAUUUAGUCUUUUUUCUUAAUUACUCUUAAUUAAAUUAAAUUAAAUUCACUUAAUUAAACUCUAAUUAACUACUCAUUUUACUUCGUAAAUAUUUUUAAUAAAUAUUUACGAAUCCAUUUUUCAGAAACGGAGACCCGAAAAUAUACUUUUUCGGUAACGGUAAAAUUCGGGUCAUUACAACUGGUAUAAUAGUUAGAAAUGAGGAAGGAAAAGUCCUCUUCUCGUGUUCAGAGAUACAUCAUGAGAUUACCUCAGCUUUUGCUGCUGAAGCAGUAGCAUGCCAGAAAGCAGUUCAAGUAGGGGUAGAAAGGGGUUGGCAGUCUAUUAUCAUUGAAGGUGAUUCCCUCGCAAUAAUCAAAAAAUGCAAGACACAAAGUCAGGAUCGAUCACUAAUAACGUCAUUUAUACAUGAUAUAAAUAGGUGACAAAGGGAUCUAAUAAAGUCAGGUUCAAACACAUACUGAGAAAGGCAAACGCCCUUGCUCAUCUCCUUGCAACAGAAACUUUAAAACGAAAGGGAAGAGGUGUACCUGGAAAUGGAAGUUCCUGCAUAUGCCAAAGAUCAAAAAUGGAUUGACUAGAUGCGAGAACCGGAUUGAGGUGUCUGCUGGGGAAGAAGGAAGGAGGAGGAAAAGCUUCAUUGAAUUUUUUUUUAGAAGAUAAGUUUUGGAAAACUGAAAGCGUCAAUACUGAUGGAAAUGAUGGAAAGACAGUCCACAGUUUUCAGAAUGUUUUGAUUGGCAAUGGUUUGGCGCAUUAACUGCUGUUCCAGAAUUUUCUAUUAAAAUAUCUAGAUAUUUUGUUAUAUUUUUAGGAUAGCUGUUUUAUCAGGUUUUAUAUUGGACCUCUAUUUUUAGGGCCGUGCUAUUUUGAUAGAUUUGGACUAGUAUAUCCAGUGAACAUAUUUGUAUUUACUUUUAUCAUAUUUAUAAAAG
rnacentral:lncRNA from 1 species